GGUCUCUCCACCCACACAAGGGAGAGUAGAGGCCACAAAGGUUAAAGCUGCAUCUCCUACGCAGGGACCUGGUUCCUAGUCCUGCUUUGGCUCCGACUUAACUCAGUGACAUUGAACAAUUUCCAGCCCUUCUCUGAGCCUUGGUGGCCCAUCUGUAAAAUGAGGCCCCAGAUGAUCCCUUUCAACACUGACAUUCUAAGGUUCAAGGUUUAGAGACUCAACCUCAAGAAUCCUUACCAGAAGGUGUGUGUGAACAGGAAGCCACUAUGACUUUAGAAGAAGAGAAUGACACAACAGAAAGUCUAAAGGAAAAAAAAAAAAUGGCCAAAGAAGAAUCCACUUAGCAAACAUUUGGAGCAUCUCCUACCUGCAUUGGAGCUGCAAACAUGAAUGUGGAGCUCAAGAACUCAGAAGUCAAGGUGUUUAUAGCGGACUAAACAGACUUGUCAACAAAUGUUCCACAGUCUUCUGAUUUCUCUGUUCCCCAAUAUCCAUGGCUGUUGUGUACAGUUGUACAGGUUGUUCACUGCACAAGGGUACUGGCUCAGAGUUUGCAGGCACUGAAAAGCAGGCCAGGCUCCAUUCUGUAAGCACGGGUCUACAGAACUAUGUCUUCCUUGGGGGUGGGGUGCUUUCUCCUAAUUCUCACAAACGUGUCACGUGGCUUGGCCCAGCCCUGCAGCAUUCGCAUUUGCCCUGCUCUGAUCCACUCAGCCCCAAAAGUGAUCAUCUUAGGUUCAAAAGGAUAACAUCACCUCCCCAGCCCAAACACACACUCUCAUGAGUACUCCAUCAUCCAUAACUUGGCCUUCAAGUUCCUUCAUAAUCUUCCACCAUCUCCUUCCCCCUUGUACUCCACAUAGUACACAGACCACACACUGUUCCUCCACUUCCUUCAGCAAGCCAUGCCCCCCUGCCCUUUGUACACACUGUUCCCUCUGUCUGGAACAACCCCUUUUCCCUGUUUGGACAUCGAAUACCUCCAAUCUCCAGAUCUCAGCUUAGACAUCAUUCUCUCCAAAAAGCCUUCUCUGAAUCCUCUGCAUGCCCACACCCUAAGAGACCAGGUUCUUCUUUAUUAUGGCCUCACAGCUCCUAUGCUUCUCCAAAACACUUGUCAGAAUUGUAAUUAAAUGAUUAGUAGUAUUCGUAGUGGAUUAUUGCCUUUCUCCCCUAUGAAAUUGGAAGCUCCUGGAGCCUGGGGACCAUGUUUCUUAUGUGCUGUACAUGCUAUCUAUCUAUCUAUCUACUGACUCUAUGCUGUAACCCCAGUACAUAUGGUUGGUGUUUAAUAAAUAAUUAUUGAAUAAAUGAAUGUUGUUCAAUGUAAUGAAGGCCAGUGGAGAGCUGAUUCCACUUGCCUGAGGAA